GAUGAACGCUGGCGGCGUGCCUAAUACAUGCAAGUCGAGCGAAGCGGGGACGGGUGAGUAACAGGUGGAUAACCUCCUAUAAGACUGGGAUAACUUCGGGAACCCGGAGCUAAACAGGUUACUAGUAGAGGGUACCGCGCUGCAUUAGCUAGUUGGUAAGGUAACGGCUUACCAAGGCAACGAUGCAUAGCCGACCUGAGAGGGUGAUCGGCCACACUGGAACUGAGACACGGUCCAGACUCCUACGGGAGGCAGCAGUAGGGAAUCUUCCGCAAUGGGCGAAAGCCUGACGGAGCAACGCCGCGUGUGUGAAGAAGGUCUUCGGAUCGUAAAACUCUGUUAUUAGGGAAGCGGUACCUAAUCAGAAAGCCACGGCUAACUACGUGCCAGCCGCCGCGGUAAUUC
rnacentral:rRNA from 1 species